UUUAAACCCUGCCUACUUCUUUCUCGUUUCGGAUUUCAGAUUCUGAAACUCCGGCAAACUCUCAGCGCUCUUAGGCUAGCUCCGCGACGGCUCCCAAGGCUGGAGACUCCAAAUCGAAUCCUCUUCGGACUGCCACGCUGCAAAAGACGUCCUGGGAUUGUAUUCCAAUUACGUGACGUUUGUUAAAAUCCCACUACAUUUUUUACGAAAUGGAACGUUUGAUUGCCGCGGGCGGAGAGCGUUUGCCGGUAUAGAGCUCGGUGCGACCCUGCACACGACCUUGGCACAGAGCACAUGCGGGGUAAACGUGGACGAUGAAGGGCUUCGUGGCCUUUUAGGACGCGACUGUGUUAUUUAUUGGGGAGUCAGAUUAACGAAGCUAGGACGGCUGCGGUUGUCUUGCUUAGUGAAGAACCCGGGCCUGUACACUCGGGUCCAAGUAAACCGUUUUGCACUGUGCUUCCAUUGCCUCCUAUUUUUCAAACUGUUAUUAUCUGGGCAGUUGCUUCACUUCUUGUUAUGUCGAGAAAAGGCCAGGGAAUGAUGCAAUUACCAAAAGAAUCAAGAAACCUUCCAGCCCAGCCUCAGUUCAGAAUCCCUCAUGAAAUAGAAGCAGAAGGCCAAUCGCAUGUAACUCAGCUUUGAAAGUGCCAACCGUUCAGUUGGACUGAUGUAACCCUAGAGACCCCGCUCCGCUGCAAGAUGGAAGGAGGCUUAAGUAAAACAGAUAUAAAUUUGUAAUGAACUUGCUCGCAACAUCCGGCGCCGCUGUGAAUUACAGCCUUCGUCCAUCACCGUAGACUUCAGGAUUUGUUCUUGUUUUCAGCAAUUCAGAAAUGGAGUUUACAUUCUUGAUAAAAUUUGUCAAAAAUUAUUUAAUAAUACGCAAACAGGAAGAUUAAAAUGACUUAAUAAAUAAAGAUGGAAGCAUCACCAGAAGAAAUUUCUAAACGUAAUCACUAUAUUUUAGAUGGGACCCACACUCCUUUCCUGUAUCAAGGAAUUUUUCAGAAAUCGGGCGCUGUAGGUGGAGCCCUUAGUCUCAAUUGGGGAUUUUCAGAGCUUACAAUGUUAAGUAUCUGGUUUUGGAUAAAAAGAUAAAGCAGAUAUUACUUUUAGAAUAAUUUUAAGUUGUAAUAGGUUUGGUGACAAUAUUGUACAAAGCAGUAGAAAGAGUACAAGAAACAUCAUCCCUCUUUCAUCUUGUAAUCACUCCACGUUUUCUGUCCAGAGCUGACCAUUGUUAAC